rnacentral:lncRNA from 1 species
AUCUAAUUACCUUCUUUUCCAAUUUUUCUAUUAAUUACAUGAUAUUCCGGAUAUGAUACAUUAUUUAACCUCCCAUAAAUAAGCUUAUGAUACACUACUAACCAAUUAGUUUGAGAUAAAAAAGGAAAAAACGUUAAAAGUGCCUAUGAUUAAGAAUUAACACACUAAAUUUAAGAUUUUUUCCAUUUAAUUACAUAAAAUCCUCAACAACUUCAUUAUUUGAAACUUGAAUAAUCAAAUCAAUCUUCAUUUAUCACAAUCUUCCAAAACUAAUUUCUUCUCCAAUCGUUUAUUUCCUGCGUUCAGAAAAAAAUUGAACAUACUAUAAGAAUUUGAUGUAUCAGGCGAAUCUCAUAUCACACACACACACACACACACAUAUCUUUCUAUGUAUCAGAAAACGAAUUUUAAACUUAAUUUCUUUAUAUUUAUGUAUCAGAAUAAGAAAUAUAUAUUGAAUAUAUCAGAAAUCAUUGAUUACCUCUAUAAGAAAUAGUUUUAUGUAUCAGAAUGCAUAUAAUAUCUAUGUAUCAGAAAACGAAUUUAAUACUUAAUUUCUUUAUAUUUAUGUAUCAGAAUAAGAAAUAUAUAUUGAAUGUAUCAGAGAUCAUUGAUUACCUAUGUCAAGAAUAAUUUUAUGUAUCAGAAUUCGUGUAAUAUCUCUGUCAAAAAAAUAUCAAUGUAUCAGAAAUAAUAUUUACAGUUCCGUUUGUUUCAUUGAACAUUAUGAUACAUACAUAGAAUGUAUAUAGACGAAAUUUAUCAAUUUGAUACAUAAAAAAUCAUACCUUUAAAAGAAACGCAACAUGUUUCUUAGGCUCUUGGUCCUUAAUUCGUCGAAUGUAUUGAUCCAAGAUGUUUCCAUUGUGUCUACAAAUCCCAGUUUUUUUUUUUUUUUUUUUUUGAAAUUUUGUCGAUGAGAAUUAAUAAUUGUUGAAUUUAUUGUUAAUUUUUAUUACUUAAUGAUUGAUGAUUUAAUAACAUUU